GUGCUUGGCUCACUGGUAUUGACCUCUCUCAUCCACCUUACUAUCUGUUAUACUGACACAGUCGGAGACUCUUUUACCCAAAGGAUUUACAUAUGGUGGCUAAUGGAAUGGACCCUCUCUUCAAUUCCUGACAUUUUGGGAGACCGUUACCAAAGGAUUUACAUAUUGGUCAAAUGUCAAGGAAGAGUGUCAACAUUUAUUUUGAUGUUUUCCUUCUGGAAGUUUAUCAUCACAAUCAUUGAUGGAUAUUGUAGAUAAAGUAAAUGAGCUAUGUGAGGAAAUGUCAGAACAAGUUUUAUCAAGCUUGCAUGAUGUGCAAAAGAACUUACAUUUCUGGCAGACUCGUGCAAAGGGAACAGAUGCUGAGAAAUUGCAUUUUAUGGUUUUUGAAAGAGGGCCAUGGGCAUUCUUUGAAGGAACUGCACAAAUAAUACGUGGAUUUCUUAUUGAGGGUUCUCCUGUGAAGCAUUUGAGUCUUGCUGCUGCUUCUCAGAUUUCAGAAAGAGUUGCAGAACUGACAGCAUUACAAUGCUAUCUUGCAACUUUUCUUGCU